CCUACGGGAGGCAGCAGUGAGGAAUAUUGGGCAAUGGGCGCGAGCCUGAACCAGCCAAGUAGCGUGAAGGAUGACUGCCCUACGGGUUGUAAACUUCUUUUAUAAAGGAAUAAAGUGAGGCACGUGUGCCUUUUUGUAUGUACUUUAUGAAUAAGGAUCGGCGAACUCCGUGCCAGCAGCCGCGGUAAUACGGAGGAUCCGAGCGUUAUCCGGAUUCAUUGGGCUUAAGGGGAGCGUAGGCGGGCGUUCAAGUCAGCUGUAAAAUGGCGCGGCUCAACCGCAGCCCGCAGUGGAAACUGGACGCCUUGAGUGCAAAACAGGCAGGCGGAAUUCGUGGUGUAGCGGUGAAAUGCAUAGAUAUAACGAGGAACCCCGAUUGCGAAGGCAGCUUGCCGGCGUGCGACUGACGCUGAGGCUCGAAGGUGCGGGUAUCAAACAGGAUUAGAUACCCUAGUAGUC
rnacentral:rRNA from 1 species